rnacentral:sRNA from 1 species
AUCUAAACCUGACAUUCGCGGAAAGCCCGCAAACUCAAUUCUUCAUUGGGUGAGGACUUGCAGCAUUGGCAGGAGUAACG